rnacentral:misc_RNA from 1 species
GAUGAAGAACGUAGCGAAAUGCGAUAAGUAAUGUGAAUUGCAGAAUUCAGUGAAUCAUCGAAUCUUUGAACGCGCAUUGCGUCCGCCAGUAUUCUGGCGGGCAUGCCUGUUCGAGCGUCAUUUCAACCAUCAAGCCCCAGGCUUGUGUUGGGGGCCUGCAGCUGCUGCAGCCCCCUAAAAGCAGUGGCGGACUCGCUGUCAUACCGAGCGCAGUAGUUACAUCUCGCUCUGGGCAUGGCGGCGGGCACCUGCCGUAAAACACUCUUUCUAAGGUUGACCUCGGAUCAGGUAGGAAUACCCGCUGAACUUAAGCAUAUCAAUAAGCGGAGGA